GCCUGGAUAGUUCAGAGGUAGAAUUCUUGUUUUGGGAACAAUCAGUCUAAAUUAUAAGAGGUCCUGGGUUCAAUUCCCAGUUCAGGCC
rnacentral:tRNA from 1 species